rnacentral:rRNA from 1 species
AACUGCACAAUGCUGGAAACAGCGAUGCGGGAACUCCAAGUGCCGGCACUGAGUGUCGGCUGUUCCAUUGUCUAAAAAACAUAGGAAGUAAGGGCUGGGUAAGACGGGUGCCAGCCGCCGCGGUAAUACCUGCAGCCCGAGUGGUGGCCGUUAUUAUUGGGCCUAAAACGUCCGUAGCCGGUUGGGUAGAUGCCUGUGUAAAUCGAACGGCUUAACCGUUCGAAUUGCGGGUAGACCGCCCGACUUGGGACCGGGAGAGUCACGAAGUACUCCGGGGGUAGAGGUGAAAUUCUGUAAUCCUCGGGGGACUACCGGUGGCGAAGGCGUCGUGAUAGAACGGCUCCGACGGUGAGGGACGAAGCCCUGGGGCGCAAACCGGAUUAGAUACCCGGGUAGUCCAGGGUGUAAACGCUGUGGUCUUGGUGUCGGGAGUCCUACGGGGGCACCCGGUGCCGGAGAGAAGUUGUUAAGACCACUGCCUGGGGAGUACGGCCGCAAGGUUGAAACUUAA